UGGGGAAUAUUGCGCAAUGGGCGAAAGCCUGACGCAGCGACGCCGCGUGCGGGAUGAAGGCCUUCGGGUUGUAAACCGCUUUCAGCAGGGACGAGGCCGCAAGGUGACGGUACCUGCAGAAGAAGCCCCGGCUAACUACGUGCCAGCAGCCGCGGUAAUACGUAGGGGGCGAGCGUUAUCCGGAUUUAUUGGGCGUAAAGCGCGCGCAGGCGGCUUGUUAGGUCGAAAGUUAAAGCCCGGGGCUCAACCUCGGCAUGCUUUCGAUACCGGCAGGCUUGAGUGCGGUAGGGGAAAGUGGAAUUCCCAGUGUAGCGGUGGAAUGCGCAGAUAUUGGGAAGAACACCGGUGGCGAAGGCGGCUUUCUGGGCCGACACUGACGCUCAUGCGCGAAAGCUAGGGGAGCAAACAGG
rnacentral:rRNA from 1 species